rnacentral:lncRNA from 13 species
AUUGCCAGUGUUUAUUGUUGGAGUUCUUUUGAAUCUUGAACUCUAUGUAUCAUCAUUUUGAAACAUAAUUACUUCCGUCCUGAUGUAUGAGCAUGCACAGAUGAAUACUGAGUAUUCUCUCCAUGUCAGGCACGAUGUUACAUGCUUCAAGUGUGGUUCACUAACCUCACAACUGCUGCUUGGGAUGAUGUGAGUCUUAUCCCUAUUUUACAGAGGAGGACACUUUGAUCAGAGAAGUGCAAGUCACAGCCACGUAAAUGAUAUAACUGGGAUUUUCAUCCUGGUGUUCUGGCUUUAGACCCCAAGUUUCUAACCACUAUGCCACAUUCCCUGUCUAGUGUCUCCUACCAGAUGACCAGAUAAGUGAUUGCCUAUUAUUUAUUUCUUUUUCCCACUCCAUCCUAGCAUGAUUCAUUAAACAUAGUAUGCAUGCAAAGCAUGUUAAAUGAAUGACAGAAUCAGUGACAGAAAACUGUGGCUAUUUACCAUCUUCCUUUGCUUUUGAGAAACUGAUGGCACUACAUUACCCCCGAAGCCUUUGUUUGUUGGUGAAGUGGGACUGGACAUCUGAAACAACCUGGCCAAUCAUCAUUCUCUAAUCUCCUGGUAACACUGGGUGGCUUCAGGAUUGGCAAAUAGUUGUCCCUGAGCCAACUGGAAUUCUUCCCUUGAACGUUGUCGUGUGUAAGCAGGAGAAAUCAGCAGUCUGUCAUCAGUGGCAGAAGCUUUAAGACCUAAAAUCUGGAAGUUCUUGAAGACCAUAUUUCCUGCCAUGACAAGAAAACCAGGAUGCAGACAAUGAAAAUUAACAGAAUCGACAAAGAGAAACAGAAAGUCUCUGAGGAAAUCCCAGAAGCCAUUCAGCAGUGCAGCACAUUGGUUUCUACACAAAAAUGGAAGCUGGAAGCCAGUUGUCCUUCCUGGGAUCACAGCUACACCACUUUUCUCAGCAUAUUCUGCAGGGAGACAUUACCUGUGUUAGAGGAAGAGAGAUGUGAGAAGACUCUCGUGGGAUGUUGGCCGCUGACCCUUGCCAUGACAGCAACCAGAAUGCUUUUCCACUUCCUGCCUUCAACUGCUCUUCCCAUGCUAACCCACAUCCUGCCACAGGAUACUCACUCAUCAUCACCAAGAACUGCCAAUGGAUUGCUCCAUGCACUCCAGCACUGGGUAAUUAUUCUUUGCCAUACACUGCUUCUCAGGCUUGCUCUACAAAGCAAGAGAAUGCUCCCCUGGAGAGGAGAAAUAGCUCAAAGUGAUUGUUGUAAGGGAAUGCAGAGGAAACCUCCUAUUGUCUCCUCCGUUCUCACCUUCAUGGGCCAUCUUCUGGUCUCACAUAUAUGGCCAUUUCUUUCCAUUGAGGAUAGAGACACUGGGAAAACACUCCUGGAGAGAGUGCAGAGUAGGGGCACAUCCCAUAAAAAUCCACUUUGUGUCCAGGAGGCGACUGAAUGUAUUUCCUCCACGCAUCUCAAUCUAAUUUCCCGUGGAUUUCAGAUCAUCUUUUAUUUCCAAUUAUGCUGCUGUUCACAUUAUCGAUUUGGAGGAUACAAAUGUUGAAUGACAAGAGAGGGAGAAGACGAAGGCGGGGAGGAGAAUUCCAUUUUGCCUGAAGGAUAAGAUACUCGAAAUGCCACCCUGCACAGCAUCUCCGAAGCGUUCAUCAACGUGGCAGAGGCUGGCUCAAUUAUCUUUGUGUCAGAUGAUUAUCUGAGAGCUUAAUUUAAUCUCCAUUAUCCUCCCCCGUCAUAUUUCAAUUAAAUCUGCUAUCAGAGUGUUAACACAUCUUUGAACCUGCUAUUUCUUCAGUUAAUUUUCCACUAAGAGGUGCUGGAGAGUAACAGAUGUCAUAAUUAUGCAAUUAUUAAGUGUAUUUGACACUCGUUCUCUCAGGAUUUUGUGGUUAGGGUAGGAGCGUUGGAAAAUUAAUCUGAUGACAAUAUGCUUCCGUUGUGAUCCAUAGCACCACUGCAGGCUGGGGGACUGUCCUCCCGCUGUUUCCGAGGCUGCCGCCAAAGAAGUAAAGGAUUAACUGAUUGUGCGUCAGAUUCAUUUCACUUUUGUAUGUCUGGUAAAUUGCGUGAGUUUAUUAGGUUGAGCAGAAGUUCAGAAGCAGAAGUUUUUUUUUUUUUUUUAACAGAAACCUUUUUCAAGACCUCAAGAAGUAUAUUAAGUACAUCUCAGGGAAUAUGUAAAGUUAGCAAUUAUAAAGUUAAGGGCAGUUAAUCUUGACUUUAAAAUCUUGGGUUUCAGUUGGGGAUUGGAUGCCAAAGAAUUGUAUGAUCUUGGUUAAGUCACAUCCUCUCUCUGAGCUUUGGAUCUAUGAGGAAUGAGCAGCUCAAAAUUCCGUAGUUUACUACCUCUCCCAGGUUUUCCAUUCCCUGAAAAUUGUUACGAGCUAUCUGUUUUCUCUCUUCCCUCAAUAUCAUCUAUACCUAUAGCUAUUUAAAUCCUCAAAUUUGUUAAAAUCAAAGUCUGAAAAGACGUGUCUAUCUUUUGGUCUAUAGUACAUACUCAUUAAGAUCGAAAGCUCAUCAGGUCUUCUAAGCCUGGUUUUGACAUUUACUAGCUGUGUGACCUUAGGAAUUGCUUACCCUCUUUGAGCUUUAGUUUCCUCCUCUAUAAAAUGACAAUGAUGUUGAAAUCUAUUUCAUAGGAUUGUCGAGAUGAUGAAUUAAAAUUGUAUAAGUCACAGUCCAUUACUAUGGGUCUGUCUGGCUCAUAGAAAAGGAGUUGAAAACGCAUAGGGGAAGCUGAAGUGGGGAAUGGAUACGCAGACUGCAUGGGUGUGGAUAUCCUUGGAAAUCUCCAUCUGACAUCACUUAAGGGUUUCCAUAGUAUAAAGAACAUGGGUGUGUCCUUGCAGGCUUGAGAGGUCAUCCAGUUGGAGCUCUUGCUUUUAAGCACAGAGGGGACCUUCUCACACACACUACCUGCUGUUGGAACAGUGGGGCUAGGAACCCAGUUCUCCCUUCUCCUGGUCCAGGUACAUUUCCUCACUGUUCUUGGCCUCUUAAUCAAUCUGAAUCAGCUUUACAUGAACUCUGGGUCACCAGUCUGCCAAAUCAUUCUCAGAUCCUUUUCUGCUCUUCAUCAAAUCCAGUAAUUUUCUGCCCCAUUACUCUUCCAGUUCUACCCAUGUAAGAUGAAAGGUAGAUAAUGGCCACCUACAGGCCAAUAGACAUGCUUAUGGGUGUUGCCUGGAAGUCUUUAUUUAAGGGAACUAUUUGAAAGCCAAAUAGAUAAAAAUAGGUCAAAAUAAAACUGCUCUGAUGAAAUCA